AACGAACGCUGGCGGCAGGCCUAACACAUGCAAGUCGAGCGAUCGCAGCAAUGCGGGAGCGGCAGACGGGUGAGUAACACGUGGGAACGUACCCUUCGGUUCGGAAUAACUCAGGGAAACUUGAGCUAAUACCGGAUACGUCCGAGAGGAGAAAGAUUUAUCGCCGAAGGAUCGGCCCGCGUCUGAUUAGCUAGUUGGUGAGGUAACGGCUCACCAAGGCGACGAUCAGUAGCUGGUCUGAGAGGAUGAUCAGCCACACUGGGACUGAGACACGGCCCAAACUCCUACGGGAGGCAGCAGUGGGGAAUAUUGGACAAUGGGCGCAAGCCUGAUCCAGCCAUGCCGCGUGUGUGAUGAAGGCCUUAGGGUUGUAAAGCACUUUCACCGGAGAAGAUAAUGACGGUAUCCGGAGAAGAAGCCCCGGCUAACUUCGUGCCAGCAGCCGCAGUAAUAC
rnacentral:rRNA from 1 species